rnacentral:ncRNA from 1 species
UAAUUAUAAAAUAAAUUUAUUAUAUAUAAUUUUAUAAAAAACUAUUUUUAUAGAUGUUUAUUAAAAUUUAUUUUUUAUUAUUUAUUAUAUUAUUAAAAUAUAUAUUUAAGUUAUUAAAAAUUAAUAAUUAAUAUUUAAUUUUAAAAAUUAAAAAAAUUAAUUUUAGUAAUUAAGUAUUAAUUAUUAAUAAAAAUUGUGCCAGCAAUUGCGGUUAAACAAUUAAUAAAAAAAAUAAAUUUAUAAAUAAUUUAUUUAUAAAUUUAAAAUAAUAAAUUUAUAAAUAAUUAAGUAAAAUUUUUAUUUAAAUAAUUUAUUUAUAUUAAAUUUUAAAUUAUUUUAAUUAAUAAUUUAAAAAGACUAGGAUUAGAUACCCUAUUAUAUUUUAUAAAUUAAAAUUUUAUAAAAAAUUAAAAGUUUAUAAUCUUUAAAUUAAAUAAAGUUGGCUGUAUCUUAAUUUAAUUAGAGGAACUUGUUGUUUAAUUUGAUUAUCCACGAAUAUUUUUACUUUAUUUAAUUUAAUUUAUAUAUCGUUGUUAAAAAAAUUUAAUUAAAAUUUAAUAUUUUAAAAUUUUUAUAAAAAAAUAUUUCAAAUCAAGAUAUAGUUUAUAAUAAAGGAUUAAAUGAGUUAUAAAAAAUUAUUUAUAGAUUUAAAAUUUUAAUAAUUUAAUGAAAUUAGAUUUAAAAGUAAUUUUGGAAAUUUUUUUAAAAUGAUUUAAUUUUAAGAUAAGUACAUAUUGCCCGUCACUUUCAAUUUUUUGAAAUAAGUCGUAACAAAGUAAGAGUAUUGGAAAAUGUUCUUAGAAAAAC